UACGUAGGGUGCGAGCGUUAAUCGGAAUUACUGGGCGUAAAGCGUGCGCAGGCGGUUUGUUAAGACAGAUGUGAAAUCCCCGGGCUUAACCUGGGAACUGCAUUUGUGACUGGCAAGCUAGAGUAUGGCAGAGGGGGGUAGAAUUCCGCGUGUAGCAGUGAAAUGCGUAGAGAUGCGGAGGAACACCGAUGGCGAAGGCAGCCCCCUGGGCUAGCACUGACGCUCAGGCACGAAAGCGUGGGGAGCAAACAGG
rnacentral:rRNA from 1 species